rnacentral:rRNA from 1 species
CAAGUCGAACGAGACCUUCGGGUCUAGUGGCGCACGGGUGCGUAACGCGUAGGCAAUCUACCCGAUACAGGGGAAUAACACGGGGAAACUCGUGCUAAUACUGCGUAAUAAAUGAGAAGGCAUCUUCUUAUUUUAAAAGCUUCGGCGGUAUCGGAAGAGCCUGCGUCCUAUUAGCUAGUUGGUAAGGUAACAGCUUACCAAGGCGACGAUAGGUAGGGGAACUGAGAGGUUGAUCCCCCACACUGGUACUGAGAUACGGACCAGACUCCUACGGGAGGCAGCAGUGAGGAAUAUUGGUCAAUGGACGGAAGUCUGAACCAGCCAUGCCGCGUGUCGGAAGACGGCCCUCUGGGUUGUAAACGGCUUUUCUUUGGGAAGAACACGCUCUUGCGAGAGCAACUGACGGUACCAAAGGAAUAAGCACCGGCUAACUACGUGCCAGCAGCCGCGGUAAUACGUAGGGUGCAAGCGUUGUCCGGAUUUAUUGGGUUUAAAGGGUGCGUAGGCGGCUAUUUAAGUCGUGGGUGAAAGCCCGUCGCUUAACGACGGAAUUGCCUGCGAUACUGGAUAGCUUGAGUAUCGUUAAGGUUGGCGGAAUGGGAGGUGUAGCGGUGAAAUGCAUAGAUACCUUCCAGAACACCGAUUGCGUAGGCAGCUGACUAGGCGAUAACUGACGCUGAGGCACGAAAGCGUGGGGAGCGAACAGGAUUAGAUACCCUGGUAGUCCA